GAGAGGUGGAGAAUAUAGAGUGAUCAACAAAUUGAUUAUAAAAUAUGCGAAAGGAACAUUUACAAGCAGAAGAAACUUGACUUUCCCAGCACUGAUCAGAAGAACAUUUCAUUGCUUCGAGAUACAGAAGAGAAAAAAGCUGCAGAGGUAAUUAGUUGUUCACUGUUGGCGAAGACCAGAAAUAUGGCUGAGGCUGUUGUUUCAAUUGUCGCUGAAGGCCUAAAGCCGCUUGGAGAUUUCAUCGUUCAGGAAGCCAACUUUUUAAGCGGAGUCGGAGAGCAAGUUGAGCUUGCACGAACCGAGCUACGACUGAUGCUGGGCUACCUGAAGGAUGCAGAUGCCAAACAAGGAGAAGACGAAGUGGUACGCGUUUGGGUUGCAACUGUUAGAGAUGCUGCUUAUGAUUUGGAGGAUGUGAUUGAGACUUUUGUCUUGAAAGUGACUUCCAAGAGGAAAGGAAGCAUGACAAUAGUCCUGAAAAGGUGUGCUUGUAUCUUGAGAGAAGGAUUUUAUCUUCAUAAGACUGGGUCUGAAAUCGAGAAGAUUGCAACCAAACUUUCUAAGUUGAGGUCCAGAAUGGAAUGUUAUGAUAUCAAGGCAAUCGGGUCAGGGAGUGAAUGUAGUUCUUCAUCUGUUGAGAGGCAACAUGAUCAGAGGCUAACCUAUGCUCAUUUCAGUGAACGCCAUGUUGUUGGGAUAGAAGGCGAUGUACAGAUAUUGGCUACACAUUUGUUGAAAGAAGAAGAAGAUCAAUUUCACCGAGUAGUUUCCAUUUGGGGGAUGGGCGGUUCAGGAAAGACGACCCUUGCAAGACAAGUUUAUCAUCACAAUAAAGUUAGGCGUCAUUUUGAUUCUUUUGCUUGGGUGUGUGUGUCUCAACAAUAUGAAGGAAGAGCUGUUUUGGAAGAAGUUUUAAUUAAGCUAACUGCUGCUACCAAAGAGCAAAGAGAAGAAAUUGAAAGAAAGAAGAGGGAUGAAAUAGCAGAACUCCUCUAUACUCUCCUCGAAAAUAUGUGUUGUUUGGUGGUCCUUGACGAUGUUUGGAACACUGGUACCUGGAACUCUAUAAAAGCUGGAUUUCCAGUAAACAAGAGAACGAAGAGCUGCAUAUUGCUCACGACACGCAACAAAGAAGUAGCAUUGCAUGUAGAUGAAAAUGGUUUUCUUCAUGAAUCUCGGCCACUAAAUGCUAAUGAAAGCUGGAAAUUGUUCGAGAAUAUAGCUAUCUUUGGAAGGGAUGAUACAGUGGCCGAAAUUUAUGCUAAGAAGGAAGAACUAGGAAAGAAGAUGCUUCAAAAUUGUGGAGGUUUGCCAUUAGCUGUCAUUGUGCUUGCAGAACUUCUAGCUAGAAAAAGAACAAUUGAUGAGUGGUAUAAAGUGUAUAAGAAUGUUGAUGUAUAUAUAAGGAGAGGCACAGACCUUGAACCAGAAUACAAAAAUGAAGGCUAUAAAGGUGCAUCAUGGGUGCUGGCAUUGAGUUAUGAUCACCUACCAUAUCGCCUAAAGUUAUGCUUUCUAUAUUUAGGCCAUUUUCCCGAGGAUUAUGAGAUACCUGUGAAAAGAUUAACUCAAUUAUGGAUGGCAGAAGGUCUUAUAUCUUCAACAUCAACAGACAUGAUUGAAGAUGUAGCAUAUGGUUGCUUAAAUGAGUUGGUAGAAAGGUGUAUGGUUCAAGUUGGAAAAUAUGGUUCAACUAAGAAGAUCAAAACAUGUCGUCUCCAUGAUCUCAUGCGAGACUUAUGCUUGUCAAAGGGAAAAGAGGAUAACUUUUUUGAUAUUGUCAAUUUUGCUUCCACGGCUAACAAGGCAGCACCUAUCGGUAAAGUUCGAAGACGUGCAAUCUAUUUGGACGAAAAGGUUGAUUGUUUAGCCCCCACAAGACAUGAAAGAGAUGGCCAACUCAGGUCUCUGUUAUACUUUGGCAGCUUCAUAUGGAAAAAAAAAAUGAUAGACAAAAUGUUCAAUGACUUCAAAUUGCUUAGAGUUUUGAAGUUUGAAGAGAUGCGUUUUGAAGUAAAGUUGCCCAGUAAUAUUGGGGAUCUUGUCCACUUAAGGUUUUUAAGUCUGAAGAAUAGUGAAAUGAAUCAAUUGCCAUCAUCUGUAGCUAGUUUGGUGUGUUUGCAAACUCUAGAUGUACGAUGUAAAGAUAAGGUGGUGGUGAAAAUACCUAAUGUGUUUUCAAAGAUGGAACAAUUGAGACAUUUAUACAUGCCCUAUAAACACAGCGUAAGUGAGAAGCUGUCAUUGGCUAGUCUUGGCAGUUUGCAGACGUUAGUUCAUAUUUCGAACCAAGACUGUGAUUUCAAAGAACUUGUUCAAUUAAAGAAUCUUAGAAAGCUGUCAGUACAUGUAAGGUCAAGGAAUUCUGAAAUUUUGGAGGAAAUCUCGGAAGCGGCAAUCUUCACAAUUAACCGUGUUCAGUCUCUCUGUGUGGUGUCUACUUCAACGGAUAUAUUAAAAAGUAUAGUAUAUAGAUGUCGUCAUGUAUCCAAGCUGAAAGUAAUGGGGCCAAUUGGAAAUUUACCUGAAGAUCUCCCAACCUAUCCAAACCUCACCAAGCUAACGUUGUGCGGUACAUGUCUCGAGGACACCCAGAUAGAAAUACUAGAGAAGCUGCCAAAAUUACAAACCCUUUGCCUUGGAGAUGGAGCUUUUGGGGCUGGUUGUGAAUUGGUUUGCUCGAGUAAGGGCUUUCCUUCUCUUGAAGUUCUUUACCUUAAUGGUUUGUCCGAAUUAUCCUAUUGGUGGGUGUCCGAAGAAGCCUUGCCUAGCCUGUGCAGAUUGUACAUUGAAAAUUGGAUUACGUUGGUGGGAGUUCCAGAUGGGCUGCAAUAUGUUUCUACCCUUAAGGAAAUAACCAUAAAGUCGAUGCCUGAUACAUUCUGUAGUCGCCUUCAGGAAGGAGGAGAGGAUUUCUACAAGAUCAAACACGUCCCUUCUGUUUUAUUUGAGAGUAUUGUUGCUGAGCAGUGGGGCGAAGCUGUGAGGAAACGUAUGCUGCUUGCCGAGAAGAGAAGGGUUGCACUGUAUGUACAGAAGGCUGCCCUACAAUUCAUUGAUGCUGGCGGGCAUACCUGAAAACUGUGUCGAUAAUGAGGUCAAUGGAACAGUGAAGGCACGGUUUUGGGGAGAAAAAUCGCACCAUGUAUUGGUUUCUUCUCCAGAUGUGUAUGCUGAGAAUCGACCAGCUAAACACUAUGUGAGUAAUGUUGGUUCGAUCCCCAUAAUCUAUGAUGGUUUGAAUCAAAAUCACAUCUCAACUGGCACUGGCACUUCCCCAGUAGUUGAACCAAUACUCACAUUAGAGGAUGCCUGAGUUGGUCUUUUAUUUUGGCAUGCACAAUAAAAUGGUGUGAACCAAUACUACGACUAUAAAUAUCACAGCAUGUUGUAUUCUAUUUCUCGUGUUUGUAAUUUGCAGCUUCACCGUCUUGAUGUAUUAAUGCUAUUCAUAGUCUAAAAUAUCGAUAAUAUCGAUAAUAUCGAUGAAAUAUUGAGGAUAUUAUUGUUUUUCCGAAUCACCGAUAUUUCUGAAC